AUGAAAAUGUGGCCCUCUUUGAUGGGGAAAAAAAAUCACCAUGGGAAGCUACCAAGCAGCAGCAGUAAAGGAAGAGAUUUGAUUAUAUGCAUGGGCCGUCGCUAUAUUUUGGGAUGUCUUCUGCUGGUGUUGAUUGUGCACGGCUCUGCCUUUUCGCAGAACUGUUUCUGCUCAUACAGCCUGGAUAGAGUAGAGAUCAUGUUUGAAAAGAGUAUGUAUUGUCGCGAUAUCGUUUGCCAACAUUCAUAUGCCAAGAAUUCUUUGACAUUUGAUUUGGGCAUGUCGCUGUAUUUCCUGUCACAAAGAAUGUACUACCAAGUUAUGGCAUGA
rnacentral:rRNA from 1 species